rnacentral:misc_RNA from 1 species
GAUGAAGAACGUAGCGAAAUGCGAUAAGUAGUGUGAAUUGCAGAAUUCAGUGAAUCAUCGAAUCUUUGAACGCUCAUUGCGCCCCUUGGUAUUCCAUGGGGCAUGCCUGUUCGAGCGUCAUUUGUACCCUCAAGCUUUGCUUGGUGUUGGGUGUUUGUCCCGCGUUGCGCGUGGACUCGCCUUAAAGCGAUUGGCAGCCGGCAUAUUGGCCUUGGAGCGCAGCACAUUUUGUGCUUCUAGUCAUGAAUGUUGGCGUCCAUUAAGCCUAUACAUUUGCUCUUGACCUCGGAUCAGGUAGGGAUACCCGCUGAACUUAAGCAUAUCAAUAAGCGGAGGA